AUGNAAACAGAUAUAAAUAUACCGCCUCUUGUGCCUGAUGGGGACAAAAGCUUUGGUGGCUCUUUUGUUUUGGAUUUUAGAAAGUGAUGACGUCACGUGAAAACGAUCUAUAAUUCACGGGUGUUUUCUUGUUUCUAGAACUGAUGAAGAAUACAAGUUAGUUGUUCUCACAAGAGCAAACAAUCAGGUGCGGUAUCUUCAGGUUUACACGUUUCCAACAAUGAAGCAGAUGUAUUCUCUUCAGAUUUCUGUUUACUCCAUCUUGGCUGAGUGCCCAUCAAAUCAGGAGUCAAUCUACUUCAUUGAGGGUGUUGAUGGCAACCUAAAUGACAGGUAAGCUUUUUCUAAAGCUGCUGUAACAUUAUUCGUACUGAUAUUAUGUCAAACUGACAUUUUGAAGGAAUUCUCAAGUGUGGUUUUGAACUUUUGAAGUUUGUAAGUUUGCUCCAUUAAGUAUACAAGGUGACAAACGAAACAAAGUCAAGAGACUAAGGUUUCCUUGUCUAUGCCAAGUGGAAGGGAAAGCAUGAUGUACAGUUCUGGUGCCACUCUUCACCCCUGUAGCAGUACUCCCAAGUUUCCUCUGCCAACAAUUCAUUGUUUCACAGUCCUACCCAUCACCUGAGUGGAGUGAGACUUUGAGAGUAAAGAGGACACCAAAAGGACUUUGGGCAGACUCAGACCUGACCCCUACCCCCUGGAUAGGAUUGAUGGGAGAGAUAAUAAAGAUCCAAUAAGCUGUUACACAUCCCUUUCCCCCCUUAACAGACAGCUCUCCAUAAUUGAUAACUAAAGAGCUUGUCAGCCUUCCUUCAGUCACUGGACUUUAACCAAACUAUAUUAUCUUUCUUUAAGACAAAUGCUUCUCUUAUUUGAACAACAGACACUUUGAAUCAGCCAAGGUAGAAUUGCUUGAACUGGCUAUGUGAGAAAAUGCUGCAAAAAGGGAGCAAUUUUGUAUUACUCUUGGCAAAUACUCAUGUGCAAUGUAUGUUUGUUUUAAACUUUGCAACAUUAUUUUGUCAUUUGGGUGCAGUGGAACCUAAACACUUUUCCAUCUAAUAGCUAAUGUGGAAAUAAUGUGAGCAAGGUAACCAAACACUGGGGAUUUGUUGAAAAUGAUGGCCACCACAUGAUCAGCCAAUGCCUCAAAAUUAUUAGAGUCAGCUCAAACCAGAAAGUCAGACAAUAGCACCAAUUAUUGUAUGGCUAGCUCCCUGAGCAGGCAAGAUGAACCAUAUCCUGUGCUGUGAUUCGCUAUCCUAGCAAACACGAUAGCACUAUCUUGCCUGCUUGGGACUACCAGCUGUGUCCUGCACAAAACAAUUUUCCCAAAGGCCAUGAAAUGAAUUCUUUAUAAUGCCAAGCUUGUUUGGUCAAGUUGGCUCCAGGGAUAUUGGCCUUGUUCUCAGCUUUGUGAGUUUAUAUAAAACAUUUAACAGAGUUCCCACCAGUUUUGAUAUUUAAGGGUCCUUGGGACCCCCAGUUCCAAAGAGGUGGGGCUCUUUUUGCUUUUCAGGGGUCCUUUGCAUAUUUACAGAAGCAUAUCACCUAGGUGAUGUGCUUCUGCUAUUUACUAAUUAAUUUUUGGAACUUUUUUCCUGCAUCCCAAGGA